GGCAGCUUGCCAGAGUGGUUAAUGGGUAUGACUCGAACGCUCUGCAGUAGAUAUCAUAUGCCUUCGGGCGCGCAGGUUCGAAUCCUGCAGCUGUCG